rnacentral:tRNA from 1 species
GGAGAGAUGCUGGAGUGGUCGAUCAGGGCUGCCUGCUAAGCAGUUGUAGGGGUUAACCUUACCGAGGGUUCGAAUCCCUCUCUCUCCG